rnacentral:rRNA from 1 species
UACGAAGGGGGCUAGCGUUGUUCGGAAUUACUGGGCGUAAAGCGUGCGAAGGCGGCUUCUCAAGUCAGGGGUGAAAGCCCAGAGCUCAACUCUGGAAUUGCCUUUGAGACUGAGUGGCUUGAGUACGAGAGAGGUGAGUGGAAUUCCCAGUGUAGAGGUGAAAUUCGUAGACAUUGGGAAGAACACCGGUGGCGAAGGCGGCUCACUGGCUCGUAACUGACGCUCAUGCACGACAGCGUGGGGAUCAAACGGG